GUAGGGAAUAUUGGGCAAUGGAUGCAAGUCUGACCCAGCCAUGCCGCGUGGAGGAAGAAGGUCCUCUGGAUUGUAAACUCCUUUUUUGGGGGAAGAAUAGUUCUCUUGCGAGGGAAUGUGACGGUACCCUAAGAAUAAGCCACGGCUAACUACGUGCCAGCAGCCGCGGUAAUACGUAGGUGGCAAGCGUUGUCCGGAUUUAUUGGGUUUAAAGGGUGCGUAGGUGGUUUGAUAAGUCAGUGGUGAAAGCUGGUUGCUCAACAAUCAAGUUGCCAUUGAUACUGUCGGACUUGAGAGAAGUGGAGGUUCAUGGAAUGGAUGGUGUAGCGGUGAAAUGCAUAGAUAUCAUCCAGAACGUCGAUUGCGAAGGCAGUGGGCUGUACUUUAUCUGACACUGAGGCACGAAAGUGUGGGGAUCAAACAGGAUUAGAUACCCCAGUAGUCC
rnacentral:rRNA from 1 species